AAUGAAGAGAGUGAGGGGUCCUUUUAUAGAAUAAGGGCUCCUCACUUAUUACAUAUUUACCCCUUCAUUUAUUACAUAAUUACAUUUGAGUCCCCCGAGUAUUUAUACGAGGUCUAAAUACGGACGCCCUAAGUUUGGUAUAAACAAUUGAUAUAUCAUAAUUAGCAGGCCUUUUAUUUGGUAGGUAACAUCGAUGAAGCUACUGCGAAAGCUACAACCUUAGGAACUUAGAAAUGGAGAGUAAAAUUGAAGAAAUGACCUUAAAUCUUUGUGUACUAACAUCGAAUCGAAUUGUUUGGGAUUCUAGCGUAUAUUAAUAAAAAUAAAUUUACGAUAUGAUUGAUAUGUCACACUUCUAGAGUAUAUUGAUAAAAAUGAAUAUCUAUGUAUUACAGUUUGAGUAAAACGUCACAUGACCGUAUUUUGUGUAUGGAUACUGAAAAAUUGCUUGAGAUAUUUGAAUGGAUUGCUAGCUGUAUCAGCUUGUUGCAGACUAACAUUACUUCAAAUUUUAUAGUAUAUGUUCCUUUCAAUUGCAAUGGUAACAAGAAAUUGGGAGAUCGAAGUUUUUGGAUGGUUGUGGCAUCCAAGAAGCUCAAACUUAUCUUCAACGUCGUAGACAAAUUAACCCAUCAAUUUCCUGGGUUUUGUAAGCAACCUGAAGCUAGCUAGCUGUUAAUUUUGUAGGUCUAAUCUAUUCCCAUGGUAACUAUCUUGAAAUUACGCUAGUGAUUAAUUCGAUCAAAGCUUGUCGCCGUCUAAUUAAUAUGGAUAAAUAUUGGCGUUCUUGUAUUUGAUGAGCCUCAUAGACAAUGUUGUUGUUGGAGUCCCUCGGGCUUGUUUUGUGGCCGUUGUUGUUUUGUAGUUUCCUCUUUGGGUUGUAAUCCCCGUUCUUAGAGGGAAAAAGAAGCUUGUAGCUCUCAGUCAGAGUGAUUAACAGUUUUGUAUUGUAUGAACAUUGUCCUUUGUUAAUUUGGUCGGAUAUGCUUCACAUCUUUCAGUAAAAAACAAGGUCGUAAUCCUAAGAAAACAAAAGGUCGUAAUUGAUGCCCUUGGGUUUUAGAACCACCCUUUUAAAUAAGGGAUGAAAUUAAAACUUAGGGUGGCUAUACGUAUAUGUUCAGGGUGGGCUUAUCAGCAUAGGUAUUUUUACUUCUCAUACACUCUCUUUCAAUUUCUAACUAUCUGAUCGAAAUUGAACAUAAAUUAACAAGAGUGUGUAUGAGGUAAAAAAAUGUGUGGGAAUGAUACUACCUUAUGUUCAUACAAAGUCAUAACCUGUGACACUUGGCUUUUGUUUUGUUGUAAAAUCAUUACAUAAGUUCAAAUCUUACGAAUGAAUGAUAUGUUAUUGCAUGAAAAGUUUCAGAUUUGGAACGAAUUUUUUCAUUGCAAAAUUGGUAAACUUUCCAAUUUACCCUUGAGGAGGGAUUGUGUUAAUAGUGGAAAUCAAGUAUCUCUGUGGCCUUACUCAUCUGAAUUCCAGCCCCCCCCUCCUCUUUUUUUCUCUACAUUAACUAUUGACACACACAAAUAAAAUUCAUAUUUUACCUUUUUUGUACAGAUAAACAAUAUUAAUUUACCCGAAAAAUAGGAGAAAAUUUUGAAUCGAAA
rnacentral:lncRNA from 1 species